UUCACGGCCGCGGUAUUUUGACCGUGCUAAGGUAGCGCAAUCACUCGUCCCUUAAAUAGGGACCAGUAUGAAUGGCUAGACGAGGGCUUAGCUGUCUCCCUUUUCAGGUCAGUGAAAUUGAUCUAUCCGUGCAGAAGCGGGUAUAAAUAUACAAGACGAGAAGACCCUUUGGAGCUUAAGGUACAAAACUUAAUCACGUAAAACAAUGCAACAAAACAUAAAAACAUAGUGAAAAUAAAAUUUUACCUUCGGUUGGGGCGACCACGGAGGAAAGAAAAGCCUCCAAGCAGACUGGGAAUAGCUAUUUCCUACAAUUGAGAGAAACAUCUCUAAGUCACAGAACUUCUGACUGAACAUGACCCAGCCACUAAGGCUGAUAAACGAACCAAGUUACCCUAGGGAUAACAGCGCAAUCCUCUCCAAGAGACCAUAUCGACGAGGGGGUUUACGACCUCGAUGUUUGGAUCAGG
rnacentral:rRNA from 1 species